UACAGAGGUCUCGAGCGUUGUUCGGAUUCAUUGGGCGUAAAGGGUGCGUAGGUGGCGCUGUAAGUCAGGUGUGAAAUCUCGGAGCUUAACUCCGAAACUGCAUUUGAUACUGCGGUGCUUGAGGACUGGAGAGGAGACUGGAAUUUACGGUGUAGCAGUGAAAUGCGUAGAGAUCGUAAGGAAGACCAGUGGCGAAGGCGGGUCUCUGGACAGUUCCUGACACUGAGGCACGAAGGCCAGGGGAGCAAACGGG
rnacentral:rRNA from 1 species